rnacentral:rRNA from 1 species
CCUACGGUGGGCAGCAGUGGGGAAUAUUGGACAAUGGGGGCAACCCUGAUCCAGCCAUGCCGCGUGUGUGAAGAAGGCCCUCGGGUUGUAAAGCACUUUCAGUGAGGAAGAACGCCUGGUGGUUAAUACCCAUCAGGAAAGACAUCACUCACAGAAGAAGCACCGGCUAACUCCGUGCCAGCAGCCGCGGUAAUACGGAGGGUGCGAGCGUUAAUCGGAAUUACUGGGCGUAAAGCGCGCGUAGGUGGCUUGAUAAGCCGGUUGUGAAAGCCCCGGGCUCAACCUGGGAACGGCAUCCGGAACUGUCAAGCUAGAGUGCAGGAGAGGAAGGUAGAAUUCCCGGUGUAGCGGUGAAAUGCGUAGAGAUCGGGAGGAAUACCAGUGGCGAAGGCGGCCUUCUGGACUGACACUGACACUGAGGUGCGAAAGCGUGGGUAGCAAACAGGAUUAGAUACCCCGGUAGUC